GCAGAAGUAACAUUCCUUUGAACACUCAGCUUUCUGAAAUGGUGUCCCACCGCAAGGACUGGAGAAGGGCUUCUGUGCAGCUGCAGAAUAAAAGGCCGGGCAUGUGCCCCACUGGAAGUGUCUGGAAUCCAUGGCUUCAAUAGACCUUUGACGAGUGGGAAGUUGGAACCAUGAUGAAAUACUGCCCUCUAGACUGAUCUCAGGAGGACAAUUCUGGGGUGAAUUCUAUACGGUUUCUCAGAGGGUCCCCGGUAGCACUGAGCCCCCAUUUCCACAGUCAUAUUCAGUUCAAUAAUAUUUUUCCUCCUUUCCUGUUUUGCUUUCUCCAGCGCCCAUUGCUAGUUGCUUCCUGGAGGAAUUUCCCAAAAUAAAAGUGCCUAUCCACAAA
rnacentral:lncRNA from 10 species